CUUCCAACGGAAUUUGCAGCCCAUUUUCCCGCGAGAUCCCGCGUCUCCAAUCUUCGUCGUUACGUUUUCAUCUUCUUUUACUCCUUGGCUUCCUGAAUCCGAUUCUGGAGCUCCAUCGCCACCAUCGUCAAUCCAAAGAUCACAUCAUGAAGCUUGCUCUUUCCAUCCUCUUCCUCUCUCUCAGGCUUCUCCUCUUUUCUUCGUCCUGCCACCGCUAGAGGCGGCCUUCACAGUUCCUACCCUCCAGGUUUCGAAUUUGGUCCUCGCGCUGGUUCCGGCAGGCAAUUGUUUGAAGAUAAGGAGUCUCAGACGCGUGUUGAUGUAGCUCAGGGGUACAUGACUAACUCUGACCUGGGACAGGCCAUUAAGGCGUUCGGCCAAAGAUGCAGUAACAUUUCUACGGCUUACAGUGGGUAGUAGCAAUUUCUGCUAAGCCCGGGGUGGAAGAGCCUGAAGCUGCAUUUAAGACACCUGUUGUAGGUACCCUAUAAAUGGAGGCAUGCAAGAUUGGAACUACAAAAAUGGUGGCUGUUUUGAAUUGACAUUGGAGGUUAGUGAUAACAAAUGGCCUACUGCUAAUGAGGUCAGGCAUCAGUUAGGGCGGGUGUUUGCAACCUUUAAAUAUAAAACCAUAUUCUUUAGCCAAGUAUAUAUGGGGAUACGGUUACGCCCUUGGUGUAGCCAUUUGUCCAAUGGACCUUAGGGGGGUGGGGACGGAACUUUGCAUGGUACUGGCUGUUCAUAUUGUGAAUGGUAAUAUAAAACCACUAAUUGUCAAUCCAUAGUUUGCCUUGCCUUAA